rnacentral:rRNA from 1 species
GACGAACGCUGGCGGCGUGCUUAACACAUGCAAGUCGAACGGUGACGAGGAGCUUGCUCCUCUGAUCAGUGGCGAACGGGUGAGUAACACGUGAGCAACCUGCCCAGACUCUGGGAUAACAGUUGGAAACAGCUGCUAAUACCGGAUACGAGACGGAGAGGCAUCUCUACCGUCUGGAAAGUUUUUCGGUCUGGGAUGGACUCGCGGCCUAUCAGCUAGUUGGUGAGGUAAUGGCUCACCAAGGCGACGACGGGUAGCCGGCCUGAGAGGGCGACCGGCCACACUGGGACUGAGACACGGCCCAGACUCCUACGGGAAGCAGCAGUGGGGAAUAUUGCACAAUGGGCGAAAGCCUGAUGCAGCGACGCCGCGUGAGGGAUGAAGGCCUUCGGGUUGGUAAACCUCUUUCAGCAGGAAGGAAGCGAAAGUAGACGGUACCUGCAGAAGAAGCACCGGCUAACUACGUGCC